CCCUGCUCCUCCAGGUAUCUGCACUGCAUGUUCUUAAUGGCCACUCAAGAAGCUCUGCAGAAUAAAGGAUUUUGAUAUUCAAAGUCAUGAAGAAUGGACACUAGCAUAUACAUACAGGUUUCAGAUUUUAUAGAGUAUAUGCAUAUUGUUUGCAUAUCUUGCUGGUAGCAUAUGUGGAAUACAGUUGUUAUAUUUUGUAGUUCUGGAAACAGAAUAUAUUCUUUCUUAACUCAAUAUAGUAUGUUGUUUUUUGACCAUGCUUUGAAAUAGGAUAAGACAAAUAUUACAAUUGUGAGAUAAGUCAAAUCUUGUAAUCUUUUGUGAAAUUAAUUUCGUCCAGUGUUGCAACAAACAUGGGAUUGGACUAUUGUGAUUAUUCUACUCUUUAGUCCUAAGCAGUACCAAACAUGGGUCAAGAAUUAUUACAGCUUAAGCCAAGCUUAGACAGUCUAGGACUGUUUUAGAAAUUAGUCCUGCCUUAGGCAGUCCUGUGUAACAAACAUGCUGAUCAAUCUCACCUUAAUUGCAUUCUAUUUGUACAUGCCUUCUUGCAUGACUUUCAGUUACUUAUAUGUUUUACUAACUCCCAACCACUGCACUGCAUACCACCUUAUAAUAUUAGUAAAACUUUGUUAGAGUAUUUUGAUUAUGAGAUGUUGGAGGUUGUUAAAAUUAAAAUUAAACCUAUCAUUAAUACCUAAUCUUACCUCACCUCAGUUGGGGAGGCCUCGUAUUCAAUAUUAGAAGAAUUGCUGUCAACUAAUAAAAUAGAAUCUAUUCUAAACCAAAAAACAAAACAAAAAAACUAAUAAAAUAGAAUCUAAUUUUUC